UCAACGAAUAAAUACACAAGACCGAUGCUAUCUUGCCGACCCUUCCUGUGCAGUAACAUCAGGGGUAUUUACAACUGAAAUAAACUUAGACCUUGACGUGUACAACACUACGAAAAUAAAUAAUCAAACGAUCACAAUCCAGGAGUACGAAACCGCCGAUAUUGGUGCAAUAGUAGGGGGACUUUGUGCUGGAGUGAUUCUCCUCAUCGUCCUCCUGUUCUUAGGAGUUCUUCUGUGGAGAAGAAAACAAAGGAGGAAAAACAAGACUAAAGAACCAGAUCCAGACACAGAUUAUUUUGAAGAAAAAAAGGAAAGCGGUUCUGAAAGUGACUCAUACCAAAGAUGCACCAGUAGUCUUGAUGAUUGUACAUUUAGUACACCAUUGCUGCCAACUUAUAAUAUUGACG